CGCGUAGGCGGUUCGAUAAGUCGGAGGUGAAAGCCCUCGGCUCAACCGAGGAUCCGCGUCCGAUACUGUCGAACUUGAGUGCAGGAGAGGAGAGCGGAAUUCCCAGUGUAGCGGUGAAAUGCGUAGAUAUUGGGAGGAACACCGGUGGCGAAGGCGGCUCUCUGGACUGCUACUGACGCUGAGGCGCGAAAGCUAGGGGAGCAAACGGGAUUAGAUACCCCGGUAGUCCUAGCCGUAAACGAUGGGCACUAGGUGUGGGAGGUAUCGACCCCUUCCGUGCCGCAGCUAACGCAUUAAGUGCCCCGCCUGGGGAGUACGGCCGCAAGGUUGAA
rnacentral:rRNA from 1 species